rnacentral:misc_RNA from 1 species
GUAGGUGAACCUGCGGAAGGAUCAUUAUUGAAUGAACUUGGUGUGGUUGUUGCUGGCCCUUUCGGGGGCAUGUGCACACCCAUCAUCCUCAUCUCUCCACCUGUGCACCUCUUGUAGACUUGGAUUGACUUUCCGAGGCAACUCGGUCGGGAGGACUUGCUGGCAUUAGCUGGCUUUCCUUGCAUUUCCAAGUCUAUGUUUUUUCAUAUACCCCAUUGAAUGUAACAGAAUGUAACAUAUUGGGCCUUUGUGCCUAUAAAAACUUAUACAACUUUCAGCAACGGAUCUCUUGGCUCUC